GAUGAACGCUAGCGGCAGGCCUAACACAUGCAAGUCGAGGGGCAGCACGUCUUCGGGUGGUGGCGACCGGCGCACGGGUGCGUAACGCGUAUGCAACCUACCUCUUACAGUGGGAUAGCCCAGAGAAAUUUGGAUUAAUACCGCAUAGUAUACAGAUUCAGCAUUGGGACUGUAUUAAACAUUUAUGGGUAAGAGAUGGGCAUGCGUUCUAUUAGUUAGUUGGAGUGGUAACGGCACCCCAAGACAGCGAUAGAUAGGGCCCUGAGAGGGGAGUCCCCACACUGGUACUGAGACACGGACCAGACUCCUACCGGGAGGCAGCACGUGAGGAAUAUUGGACAAU
rnacentral:rRNA from 1 species